AAAGAAUGUUAUCAGCGUUGCUUGUGAAAAACUUCCUUAAACAUGGCCAGAAAACAAUAUCACAUUCCAAAAGUAUUUCCACCAUUUAUUGCAAUUCUUUUCGUCGUCUUCACAAAUGGAGUUCAAACAGAGAUGGAGAGUCUGUAUAAAACAGUGUGUUCCCAUCACAAACUAGUCAUCACUUGUCCAUAUUACCACAAAAUCGCCAUCAAACGCUUGUAUUAUGGGAUUAAGCCAAAUGCUGUUUGUAACAACCGAUCGUUGAUAACGACCGGACGCCUACCGAUGUGUUGCCGGGGUGGACCACAAGACUGUAUUGUGUUAGACACUUCUCAGUAUUCUAACUACACAAUAUAUUGCUCUGGGUAUCGAACCUGCGAUCGGAAAGUUGCUGCUGUGAAGAGUUUGUCUACAUGCUCGAAACCAAACCAAGAAACCCAUUACCAACAGGUUGUUUACCAUUGUGUCCAAGAAAGCAACAUCAUCCCAUUCUGCAGUUCCGGUAAAAAGAGAGGAAAAACGGUUUUCAUCGGAAACAAGAACUACCCGGAAUCCAUCACCGGUGGCGUCCACGAGUGCCACUGCCAAGUCUAUUCAGGGUUUGGCAGUAGAGUUACCCUCCAUGCUGUGGACAUUACAAUAAGCUCCAGUAGAGAAUCGGUAUGUCAGAAAGGUUUGAAGAUUUCGGAUGUCCAUGGCGAAGAAAUUCAGAUUGGUUGUGGCUAUAAAGGUCUUUACGGUUUCCGUACAAUUUACCAGAAAGGAGCCAACAAUUUGACAGUAACGCUUUACAGUCUGUCAGAAGACUCUCGAGGCUAUGUUUGGUUGCAAGCCAGAGCGAUGGAAAAAGAGGAUUACGUCAUCGUCGAGUGUCAUGAAGAUGGCGUCGUAGUGCCGCAACCCAAAGACAAAUACCCGUUGCUUGACAAAAAUGAUGGCUUUGAUUCUUCCGGUGACAAACCUGGGACUGAACCGACCAGUUCAGUGGCGACCAUUCGAGAAGGGAAAUCCGAAAACGAUGAUGAAGGAAAUGAAGAAAUAAGUUUAACGAAAUUAGUUUAUGCCAUCGGUGGUGCCGCCGCAGCGAUUCUCUUGAUUCUGGUCCUGGCAUUAAUUGGAAUCGUUUUGUAUUGUCGAAGAGUGAAAAGAAGGAAGAGAAGAUUGUCUCAACUUCAAAAAUCCUCCGUUUUCAAUCCUUCAAAACUAGAAAACAAGCAGGACCCUUAUAACUAUAAUGAAGACCACUACAUCUCCAUUCGUCGAAGUCCUCUCAGGGUUUCCACUUACAGCACGUUGCAAGCUGUCACUAAAAAGAAAACACCCAACUCCUUUGAUCGGAGACACAGCGAUCAAAAUGGUGAGCUAAGUAACCAUUACUUGAAUGAUUUUGAAAUGACAAAUAUCCCAGAAGAAACAUCCGUUGAUCGCAUUGGUUCCUUAGCCAGGAAAUCAACCAAGAUUCCAAAAUAUGAAAUGUCUUCCUGUCAAGAAGCAGAUACACUUCCAGGCAACAGCCAUUAUGCUAACAUAACAUUUUCUGCACCUCCCAGUGAACAAAACACACUUCGACGGAACAAAAACAGUUUUUCGUCUCAACCGGCAUGUGACAAUGAGAAGCUGGAAUUUCUUCCUCCUCCUUUGGAAUCGUUUUUGUCCGAUGAUGACAAGGAUAUGUAUUAUCCCACUUCCCAUAAUACUCCACCGAUUUCACCAAUGACCGUUGACAACUAUGAUAGCAGCAAUUCUUCAAGGCAAGGUGAAUACUACAAGACUCCGGUCGUCCAUCCAAUCUACGAUACCGUAUCAGAGGACCAAAAUUUUCUUCCUUCACCAACAUUCCAAAACGAUAAUUAUCUCAUCAGGGAAAACCUUCCUGCUGCUAACGCAGACUUGACCUAUGAUCUGAAUGUAGAGAAUGGUAACAUCCCUCAAGGAAACUUUCUCGAACCAAACCAUUAUAAAAUACCAAGGCAAACAUCAUCAAACAGUAACUUUAUUUUUCCUCCCCCACCUUCUCCAACAGACUUUAACGAAGACUUAUAUAAUUCAAACGUCUACUGUGAAAUGCAAUUAGGUUCAGAUAAAAAUGAUAAUUAUAAUUAAACAAACUAAUUGAUAUCUUCCAGAUUUAUCACUGAAGCUCAAAUUAAAGUUUAGCAGUUGACUUUAUUAUUAUCAUCAUCAUCAUCAUCA
rnacentral:misc_RNA from 1 species